rnacentral:misc_RNA from 1 species
UUUCUAUUUACAUUAGUUUCCAUGAAAUUAGGUUUCCUUGCAAAGUUAGGAAUCUUGUAUACAAGUAUGCAUAUGUAUAAAGUCAUUGACAUAUAUGAAAAAUACAAAAAUUUCACUCAAAUACAUUAGUUUCAUCAUGAUAUUAGAGCUUUCGAUUCAUUAGGGUAGGUUUAGUACUGUUUACGUGUACUGUUUACAUGCACUAUUCAAGGGUACUGAUCAUCGGCAUUGUUCACAGCACAUAGAUCUCCAACUUUUUCAACUGUUCCUCAUGUGUUGCGCUUCUAUCCAGCCAUUGUUCUUGAUCUGACCACAAGCGAAUAUGUUUGAAAUAGUGGAUUACUCUAAAAAAACAAAUGAUAUUGGCAUUUUUUCUAAUAAAAAAGUUCAAUCUCUAAAGCGUUUGUUGUCUCAACUUGAAUCUCAAUUUUUCACAAUUGGCUCUUUCAAUUUUAUCAAAUCAGAUAAUGUUAUUAAGGCGAAAAGUGAUACUAUGGCGAUAGAGUACCCUAUGACCUUAGGCGAGAG